rnacentral:sRNA from 2 species
UCAAUGUGAUCGCUGAAUUUCCUGGUAACAGGAAAACGGGGGGAACCGCUGUGAAUACCGAUAGGUGGGAAAAGUCGAACCUAAUCGGAGGGUAACAGACCAUUAUGGGGUGAAUCCUUACAGGUCCGGGCUGGUGAAGAAUACCGGCAAGGGUGGGUAAGGUAGGGCUACUCUCAGUCCGAAUCCGUCAGCUAACCUCGUAAGCACAUGAGAGAGGGUAC